rnacentral:pre_miRNA from 1 species
GUACUACUCCCUCCAUCCUAAAAUUCUUAUCUUAGAUUUGUCUAGAUGCAGAUGUAUCUAACACUAAAACGUAACUAGAUACAUCUGUAUUUAGACAAAUCUAAAACAAAAAUUUUGGGACGAAUGGAGUAAUUC